UCUAAAAACAAGAUUAAUAUGACUAAUUGGGCGGAGGUGUUAAAGACAAGACACGUACAUCUUCAGAUGAACAUUUGGUCUUUAUUCUUUUUUUUUUCUUAAAAAACCUCGAUGCAAAAGAUCGGAAGCGGAUAAUUCUUCCCUCCCACUCUUAUGGUAUAACUGCCUCUUUUUUUUUUUUUUCUUUUUUCUCUUUCACUUCUCCUUUUGCUCUGUUUAGGUCUGUUUUGCCUUGUUUAGGUUUGUUUGGCCUUGUUGUUGUAUGUAUAUAGGGCUACACCCUCAUCUUAUUUUUCCUACUUUCCUGCUCCACUUAUGUUCUCCUACUUUCAAUGUAAAGAAAAAUAAGUACAGAUGGACUACUAGGUAUGCUAAAUGGAGCUCAUCUCCAUUUCUAAGCCUAAGAGCCGGCGUUGUCUGUAGACACCUCCAAGGUCAUGUAUGAUUCUGAGGGUUGGUGCUCAUCUCCAUUUCUAAGCCGAAGAGCCAGCGUUGUCCGUAGACUCCUCCAAGGUCAUGUGGCAUGACUGCAUGGAGCGGCGUUACCUUCCCGCCGGAGCAGUACCUAUUGAUGCACUCACAUUUGCAUGUUUUUGAACUUCUGGGUUGGCAGAAGCUGGGGCUAACAGUGGGGGCUCUCUCCGCUCCACCAAUUCAAACCUGCGGCCUUCCGGUCCAGAAGUUCAGCAGCUCAGCGCUUUAACACGCUGCGCCAUCAGGGGAUAUUAUUUCCUAAUGAUUGUGAAUAUACAAUAUUUCUGAUUGGUUUUUUUGUCUGUUGGAGGCAAAAUGAUUAGGAUGUAAUGGCUUGCAGCUUGAAAGCCUGGCUGUUUCCUCCCUGAGUGAAUUUUUUGUUGGGAGGUGUUAGCUGGCCCUGAUUGUUUCCUGUCUGGCAUUCCCUUGUUUUCAGAGUGGUGCUGUUUGCGAUAUUUUAUGUGCUUCUACUGUCUGUGGCCCUGAGAAAACAUAGGAUUUGCCAGACUUUGAUGAUGGGAAUACUUUGUUGGGAGGUGUUAGCUGGCCCUGAUUGUUUCCUGUGUGGAAUUCCCCUGUUUAUUUACUGUCCUGGUUUUAGAGAUUAUAUUGUUCUGCAUUAUUCUAUCCCAGUAAGUAUUUCAUAUUAAAGUAGAAUCUCACUUAUCCAAGAUUCGCUUAUACAAUGUUCUGGAUUAUCCAACGCAGUCUGCCUUUUCAUAAUCAAUGUUUUUGUAGUCAGUGUUUUAAAUUCAUUGUGAUAUUUUUGUGGUAAAUUUGUAAAUACAGUACAGUAGAGUCUCACUUAUCCAACAUAAACGGGCCGGCAGAACAUUGGAUAAGCGAAUAUGUUGGAUAAUAAGGAGGGAUUAAGGAUAACCCUAUUAAACAUCAAAUUAAGUUAUGAUUUUACAAAUUAAGCACAAAACAUCAUGUUAGACAACAAAUUUGGCAAAAAAAGUGGUUCAAUACACAGUAAUGCUAUGUAGUAAUUACUGUAUUUAUGAAUUUAGCACCAAAAUAUUAAUGAAAGCAUUGACUACAAAAAUGCGUUGGAUAAUCCAGAUCGUUGGAUAAGCGAGUGUUGGAUAAGUGAGACUCUACUGUAAUUACUACAUAGCAUUACUGCGCAUUGAACUACUUUUUCUGUCAAAUUUGUUGUAUAAUAUGAUGUUUUGUGGCUUAAUUUGUUUAAUUGGCUUUUCCUGAAUCCCUUCUUAUUAUCCAACAUAUUCACUUAUCCUGCUGGCCUGUUUAUGUUGGAUAAGUGAGAGUCUACUGUAUAUUGAUAACCUUAUAUUAUCUGUUUAGAAGUGGAUUAUAUGAGGACCCUUCUUCACAGCUGUAUAAAAUGCACACUGAAGUGGAUUAUAUGGCAGUGUGGAGUCAGGAUAAUCCAGUGCAAAGCAGAUAAUAUAAGAUUCUAAAUGGGUUAUAUAGCUGUGUGGAAGGGCCUUGAGUCUACACUGCCAUAUAAUCCAGUGCAAAUUAGAUAAUCUGUGGAAGAAGCCUAAAUUAGGCCUAAAUCUGCCUGUCCCCUAACUGAACCCUGGCUGUCCCUUUGCUGACAGGCUGGUUGCUAGGCGACCAAGUGGGCAGAGAUUAGCCCUCUAAACUGGCAGCAAUUGGAUAAAAAACAAUUAUUGCUCUUCCUCUAAUUAGGACUUUAUUUUUCUUUUCUUUUUGUUGUAUCAACCUUGAGGCAUGGAUGAUGGGUUGUGUUGUCAAAUUUUGAGGUUGGGGGGCCUGUACUUUUGUUGUUUUGUGAAUUGCCGUGAUGCCAUCACUCUUUUAUAUAUAUAGAUAGAUGUUCUUCUUCUUUUUUUGUUCAACAAUAAAUGUGAAUUCUUCUUCAUGGAAAAAUAAGACAUCCCCUGAAAAUAAGAGCAUCUUUGAGAGCAAAAAUUAAUAUAAGACAUUGUCUUAUUUUCGGGGAAACAUGGUAGAUAGAUAGAUAGAUAGAUAGAUAGAUAGAUAGAUAGAUAGAUGAUAGAUAGAUAGUCACAUACAUAUUCUGACUAUUAUUAGACAGGCAGACAACUGUUAAGAACUGAUGGAGCAAAGUAAACAAGUAAUCCCCUUUUUACUUCAUGCUGAAAUAUUUUGAACAAUAGCUGAUUCUAUGAAUGGAAUCCAACUUCAUAGCAGAGAUGGGGUGGGUGGGAAGAACAGCACACCCAACAAGAUAUUGUACACACUCUCGUCUCCUUAUUUUUAUAAAACAACAAUUUCAUAUUUCUUUAAAGCCAUCAAAGCCAGUGCCCAUAGCUACAUUUUAAGAGAAGUUAGUUAUUAAUUGUGGGAAGAAAUGCUUUUUCUAAGCAGAAACUUAAGGGAAUGAUUCUAGGAUGACAGAGGAAGACCAACACCCCCUCCCGCAGUUUAUACCUACUGAUAUGCUCCUUGGUUGACUGAGUUGACUGAGGGUAUCAAUACACUUUUUUUCAACAUUAGCAUUCAUUACAGUGUUCCCAAUCUGAACUGAAGUCCUGAUACUUACUUGCAUGCAGGCCUGUAGGCAGGAUUUUGAUUCGGGAGGGGCUGAGUCUGGGUGAGAGAGGAUCUACCCUAGCAAACCAUUUGUAUUGUUAUCCCAAAACCCCAUGUAUAUGGGAUAUAUUGAGCAUGGUGAUCAGAUCAUGAUAUGAAUAAACAUAACAGUUUAAAUAAUAAAUGUAAGGCCUUCUCACGGACCACCCUGAGAAUUUCCGGCUACAUGCCUGCUUGCAUAUCUAUCUAUUAGGCUUGCUCAAAAAAUUCGAUUUCCCCGUUUAUCGUUAGUAAUUCGUUUGUUUUGUCGCUUUUGAAUUGAUAUUCAAAUCGCAUUAUCCCGUCGUGUGGAUCCCGCGGUUUCGAACCACGAUAGGCAAUUUUUCUGAUGUCGUCAUUUUUUUUCGUUAGGUAAGCAAGCAUUUGCAAAUCACCCAAACUUGUUUCAGUGCACUGGGGCAACCUAGCAUGUUGUUUCCACCUUGUGGCCAAUCGGAGAGCACGUUUAACUAAGGGGAGGGGCUUGUACGUCCUGAAUGAAAACUUCAGGGAGCCUCGUGGCUCAUUCGGCCCGGGGAUCUGGAGAGAGAAGGUCUCUUUCUCACUAGCUCAUCCCUCAGUACCAGCAGAACUACUUGUAAUGCGUACAGAGCAAGUAAUAUGAAUACAACACUGGAGAUAAUUUCAAGAGCCACAGGUAAAAAAUCACUUCUGUAGCCCUUUUAUUUUCUUGCACUGCACAAAUGGCUGGCUCUCUUAAGCUUAUCAAUGCUUGCAAAGUCUGGCAAACGGUGCAAUUCCCAUAAUCCACACAAAUAGAACUUGGGCAAAAGGGAGGCUGUAUUUUUCCCUUUUAUUUUCUUGCACAUUAGUGCAGUAAGUGCACAUUGGCUGGGUAUCUUACUCCCCCCCCCCGGGCUGUUUUGGGCCACAGCGCAUGCACAUCCGCCAUUAACGAAUUACUUUUGAAACUAACGAAUUUUCGUUAAAUUUCAAAAAAUUUUGAGGGCAAAAUUCAGAAAUGACAUCAGAAACGAAACGCUAGGGCCCCCUACUUUUGAAGCGAGUUUAGAAUCAAUUUUUACGUGGAUCGCUCAAGCCUUCUAUCUAUCUAUCUAUCAUCUAUCUAUCUAUCUAUCAUCUAUAUGCAAGCAGGCAUGUAGCCGGAAAUUCUCAGGGUAGUCCGUGAGAAGGCUAUACACACACACACACACACACACACAUCCAAUCUAAUCUAGCCCUGAAAUUGCAGCAAUUUCAUUGGCAAUCAAUCCUACAAAGGACUGGGCAUCCAUAAAUAGAAGGAAAUGGUUUGAGUCACUGUUUUUAUUCCAGUUCAGCAAGAUUCCUCUCCAUUCCAUACUGCUCUAUAUUAUUCUUUUUAUUGACUAUUGACAUAGCACUCCUCCUUUAAAGCACAAUAAUAAAUGAGUUGCUGUUUAGAGGCCAACAAAUAGACUAGGCAUAGAACUUUAAUGCAAAGUGAAAUUGAAAGCCACAUUGAGUUUCAUCCAUAUAAAAAAGUGUGGACUCUGUUGAAUAUUAAGGCAGGUUCCUAAAACUAUAAAUGCUAGAAGCUGUAAGGGUAAUUGUAGGGACUCACAAUGGAGUAAAGAACAUGCUAAAAAUCAUUUAAAACAAAAUUGACUGAUAACGAAAAAUGUUUUUUUGGCAUGAUACACAACAAUGCACUCAAAAUUACAUGUUGUUACCAACAUUGAUUUCUACAUGCAUCAAUGAUUUUUAUUUUAUUUUUUUGGAUUUCCUAUUUUCAACUCAGGCUAACU
ensembl:lncRNA